rnacentral:rRNA from 1 species
GACGAACGCUGGCGGCGUACUUAACACAUGCAAGUCGAACGGAAAGGCCCUGCUUUUGUGGGGUGCUCGAGUGGCGAACGGGUGAGUAACACGUGAGUAACCUGCCCUUGACUUUGGGAUAACUUCAGGAAACUGGGGCUAAUACCGGAUAGGAGCUCCUGCUGCAUGGUGGGGGUUGGAAAGUUUCGGCGGUUGGGGAUGGACUCGCGGCUUAUCAGCUUGUUGGUGGGGUAGUGGCUUACCAAGGCUUUGACGGGUAGCCGGCCUGAGAGGGUGACCGGCCACAUUGGGACUGAGAUACGGCCCAGACUCCUACGGGAGGCAGCAGUGGGGAAUAUUGCACAAUGGGCGGAAGCCUGAUGCAGCAACGCCGCGUGCGGGAUGACGGCCUUCGGGUUGUAAACCGCUUUCGCCUGUGACGAAGCGUGAGUGACGGUAAUGGGUAAAGAAGCACCGGCUAACUACGUGCCAGCAGCCGCGGUGAUACGUAGGGUGCGAGCGUUGUCCGGAUUUAUUGGGCGUAAAGGGCUCGUAGGUGGUUGAUCGCGUCGGAAGUGUAAUCUUGGGGCUUAACCCUGAGCGUGCUUUCGAUACGGGUUGACUUGAGGAAGGUAGGGGAGAAUGGAAUUCCUGGUGGAGCGGUGGAAUGCGCAGAUAUCAGGAGGAACACCAGUGGCGAAGGCGGUUCUCUGGGCCUUUCCUGACGCUGAGGAGCGAAAGCGUGGGGAGCGAACAGGCUUAGAUACCCUGGUAGUCCACGCUGUAAACGGUGGGUACUAGGUGUGGGGUCCAUUCCACGGGUUCCGUGCCGUAGCUAACGCUUUAAGUACCCCGCCUGGGGAGUACGGCCGCAAGGCUAAAACUCAAAGGAAUUGACGGGGCCCCGCACAAGCGGCGGAGCAUGCGGAUUAAUUCGAUGCAACGCGUAGAACCUUACCUGGGUUUGACAUGGAUCGGGAGUGCUCAGAGAUGGGUGUGCCUCUUUUGGGGUCGGUUCACAGGUGGUGCAUGGCUGUCGUCAGCUCGUGUCGUGAGAUGUUGGGUUAAGUCCCGCAACGAGCGCAACCCUUGUUCACUGUUGCCAGCACGUUAUGGUGGGGACUCAGUGGAGACCGCCGGGGUCAACUCGGAGGAAGGUGGGGAUGACGUCAAGUCAUCAUGCCCCUUAUGUCCAGGGCUUCACGCAUGCUACAAUGGCUGGUACAGAGAGUGGCGAGCCUGUGAGGGUGAGCGAAUCUCGGAAAGCCGGUCUCAGUUCGGAUUGGGGUCUGCAACUCGACCUCAUGAAGUCGGAGUCGCUAGUAAUCGCAGAUCAGCAACGCUGCGGUGAAUACGUUCCCGGGGCU